rnacentral:rRNA from 1 species
UAGGGAAUCUUCGGCAAUGGACGAAAGUCUGACCGAGCAACGCCGCGUGAGUGAAGAAGGUUUUCGGAUCGUAAAACUCUGUUGUUAGAGAAGAACAAGGACGUUAGUAACUGAACGUCCCCUGACGGUAUCUAACCAGAAAGUCACGGCUAACUACGUUCCAGCAGCCGCGGUAAUACGUAGGUGGCAAGCGUUGUCCGGAUUUAUUGGGCGUAAAGCGAGCGCAGGCGGUUUCUUAAGUCUGAUGUGAAAGCCCCCGGCUCAACCGGGGAGGGUCAUUGGAAACUGGGAGACUUGAGUGCAGAAGAGGAGAGUGGAAUUCCAUGUGUAGCGGUGAAAUGCGUAGAUAUAUGGAGGAACACCAGUGGCGAAGGCGGCUCUCUGGUCUGUAACUGACGCUGAGGCUCGAAAGCGUGGGGAGCAAACAGG